rnacentral:rRNA from 1 species
CCUACGGGUGGCAGCAGUGGGGAAUAUUGCGCAAUGGGCGAAAGCCUGACGCAGCGACGCCGCGUGAGGGAUGAAGGUCUUCGGAUCGUAAAGCUCUGUCAGCAGGGAAGAACGGUCACUGUGCUAAUCAGCAGUGAAUUGACGGUACCUGCACCAGCAGCACCGGCUAAAUCCGUGCCAGCAGCCGCGGGAAUACGGAGGGUGCGAGCGUUAGACGGAAUUACUGGGCGGAAAGCGCUCGUAGGCGGUAUGUCAAGUCAAGGGUGAAAUCCCGGGGCUCAACGUGGGAACUGCCUUUGAAACUGGCAAGCUGGAGUGUGUGAGGGGAUAGUGGAAUUCCGGGUGUAGGAGGGAAAUCCGUAGAUAUCUGGAGGAACACCAGUGGCGAAGGCGGCUAUCUGGCACAUAACUGACGCUGAGGAGCGAAAGCGUGGGGAGCAAACAGGAUUAGAUACCCCUGUAGGC